UAUGAUAUGGAAAAUGCUACCUGAAGCUGUC
rnacentral:piRNA from 1 species